rnacentral:tRNA from 1 species
GAGGUUGUAGCUCAGUAGGUUAGAGCGUCGGAUUGUGGUUCCGAAGGUCGCGGGUUCGAAACCCGUCUCCCUCCCCA